rnacentral:rRNA from 1 species
CCUACGGGAGGCAGCAGUGAGGAAUAUUGGUCAAUGGGCGCGAGCCUGAACCAGCCAAGUAGCGUGAAGGAUGACUGCCCUACGGGUUGUACACUUCUUUUAUAAAGGAAUAAAGUGAGGCAUGUGUGCCUUUUUGUAUGUACUUUAUGAAUAAGGAUCGGCUAACUCCGUGCCAGCAGCCGCGGUAAUACGGGGGAUCCGAGCGUUAGCCGGAUUUAUUGGGUUGAAAGGGGUCGUAGCGUGGUUGUUAAGUCAGUUGUGAAAGUUCGGGGCUCAACCGUAGAAUUGCAUUUGAUACUGGCAGUCUUGAGUGCAGUUGAGGUAGGCGGAAUUCGUGGUGUAGCGGUGAAAUGCUGAGAUAUCACGAAGAACUCCGAUGGCGAAGGCAGCUUACUAAACUGCCACUGACGUUGAUGCUCGAAAGUGUGGGUAUCAAACAGGAUUAGAUACCCCAGUAGUC